rnacentral:rRNA from 1 species
CCCCUAGUAACUGCGAGUGAAGCGGGAAGAGCUCAAAUUUAAAAUCUGGCGUGCCUCCGGUCGUCCGAGUUGUAGUCUGGAGAAGUGUUUUCCGUGUUGGACCGUGUAUAAGUCUCUUGGAACAGGGCGUCAUAGAGGGUGAGAAUCCCGUCUUUGACACGGACUACCAAUACUUUGUGAUGCACUCUCAAAGAGUCGAGUUGUUUGGGAAUGCAGCUCAAAAUGGGUGGUAAAUUCCAUCUAAAGCUAAAUAUAGGCGAGAGACCGAUAGCGAACAAGUACCGUGAGGGAAAGAUGAAAAGCACUUUGGAAAGAGAGUUAAACAGUACGUGAAAUUGCUGAAAGGGAAACGCUUGAAGUCAGUCAUGUCUGCCAGGACUCAGCCUCGCUUCUGCUUGGUGCACUUUCUGGUUUGAUGGGCCAACAUCAAUUUUGACCGUUGGAGAAAGGCUUUGGGAAUGUGGCACCUUUGGGUGUGUUAUAGCCCUUUGUUGUAUACAACGGUUGGGAUUGAGGACCGCAGCACGCCUUUAUGGCCGGGGUUCGCCCACGUA